CUCCUCGUCUCCCACUCGUCGCGCUCCUCAGAAUCCCGGCUCCUCGCGCCUCCUCUCCUCCGCACUCUGCUCCUUCAUCUCCUCGCAUCCUGCUCCUCCGCCUCCCUGUUCCUGAGCUGCACGCACCCAUGCCCUCCUCCUCGUUCCUGAGCUGCACACACCCAUGCCCUCCUCCUCUGACUCCAGGCCAUGCGCGGGCGGGGGGGGGGGGGGGUGUGGGGCGCAACACCCGGCCAUGGGGGCUGGCAGUGGCAGGCGCCAAGAUCCGUCCGCCGCGGACCCAGAUUCGGCGCAGCGGUGACGGAUCAAGAGCAGGCGGUGCUUCUUCCUCUCCGGUUCGGCGCGAAUCGAGACUGCGGGCUUCUUCCCCGGCGGCUCAAGCUGUCGAGCUUGGCUUCCAGCGGCGCGGAUCCAGGAGGCCUGGCUGCUCGCAAGCUCUCCAGGCGACGGCACAGACUCUUCUUCCCUGAGCAGCAAGUCGGCUCGAUGCAGCUCUCCUUCCGUGCGGUGGUUUCUCCCUCCCCGGCGGCACAGCCAUCUGCAGGAACAACAAGAAGUCAAGAAGAACAGGGUGCUGCUGAUGUCCUCUAACUUCUUUGGAAGCAUUCAAUCUAUUGCAUGGUGCUGGGGAGGCCAGAGUUGCUACUCGCAACCGUGUGAGGAGCUGGGGUGCCACCCCUCCCAGGCGAGUAGAUACUACAUCUUUGUUCUAAUAAUUUGCAUGCUAGAUAUUCGUUGAAACGUCUGACUGAAUCCAUCAGACAUGCAAAUCAAAAUCCAUCUUCUCUGCUAUGCACUAUAGAUCUGCAAUGUGCUUGUGCAUUCGUGUAGGAGGAUCCAGCACAAAUCUAAAUCCUUGUUGCUGCUUUUGCUGCUAGUGUAAGUGAACAAAACAUUUUCUUGUCUUUGACCUUGUUUCUUUUGGAAUGCUUCCGAACUUAAUUGGCUAAUUCCAUGUGCAUGCAUGCUGAGGUUGCUGUGGCCGCACAAAAAUGUUGAAUAAAUGGCAUCUUAUGUGACUUGGAAAAUCUGUCGAUUAUUCAUACGAGAUAAAACAUAUGGUCAAUUUUUAACCUGAUUCUGAGAAAAGAUGAACAACUUGCAGACUUCGCAUGUUUUAAUUUACUGUCCCAUGUUAUUUUCAUGCAGCUAUGUCUCUUGCUAAUCAAAUAACCUGCUUCGGCAUUCCUAAAUGUGCAAGAGUAACUAGGUUGCCAUGUGCAAAAAUGAUAUAUGGAGAUAGCUCAAUGCAAUUAUAGCUUUUAUGAGGUCUAGUAACAUAGCUUUUAUGGAACAUAGUUUUAUCUUAUCCAUGCCAAUGUGAGACUAAGAUGAUGUCAUUUGUACAUUAGAACAUAUAAAAGAACCAUUCAUAUCAGCUUGUUGACGUUUUUAUGUUUGAAGCUUAUCAACCAGAGCUCCUUAUUUGAUGUAGUAUAUUCGAAACUUCAAAUAAAAAUGUUUGUCUUCAAUUUACUUUGAAGAGACAUGUAUGUUUGUAACUACCAUCUUUCUUUUGAGCAGCCAAUCUUUUGGAUUCCCUGCAAUUCUCAAAAGUUAACUAUGCAUUGACAUUAAUUUGUGCAGGUGAUUUAAAGGGUUAAAGAACUGGCAAUUAGAAUAGAAGAGAAGCCUCGCAGAGAAGAAAUCAUUGGUAGCCAAAUGUGCUGCCACAACACUCUCAUCAAUACUGAUAGGUGGUGAAAAGGAAGUAUUUGCAUCCAUAGUUGCUGCUGGUGGUUACCAAUGAUUUCUUCUAUAUGUUCUUGUAUUUUGUUGUCUUCUAUCCUGCAAUGCUAGACUGCUAGUUUUGAUACAUGGAAAGAACUUUAUGUGAUCCAUUAUUAUGGUGUCAUGAUGCUGGGAUGCUAACAUUAUUGAUAUGAGGUUAUAAUUUGGGCUGUAAUUGAUUAUUGUGACUUUUGGGCUGAAACUUUUGUUUUGGUAAA